rnacentral:rRNA from 1 species
ACGGCCAUACCAUGCUGAAUAUACCGGUUCUCGUUAGAUCACCGAAGUCAAGCACCACUGGGCGCGGUCAGUACUUGGGUGGGGGACCACCUGGGAACA